rnacentral:rRNA from 1 species
GACGAACGCUGGCGGCGUGCUUAACACAUGCAAGUCGAACGGAAAGGCCCUGCUUUUGUGGGGUGCUCGAGUGGCGAACGGGUGAGUAACACGUGAGUAACCUGCCCUUUACUUUGGGAUAACUUCAGGAAACUGGGGCUAAUACCGGAUAGGAGCUCCUGCUGCAUGGUGGGGGUUGGAAAGUUUCGGCGGUUGGGGAUGGACUCGCGGCUUAUCAGCUUGUUGGUGGGGUAGUGGCUUACCAAGGCUUCGACGGGUAGCCGGCCUGAGAGGGUGACCGGCCACAUUGGGACUGAGAUACGGCCCAGACUCCUACGGGAGGCAGCAGUGGGGAAUAUUGCACAAUGGGCGGAAGCCUGAUGCAACAACGCCGCGUGCGGGAUGACGGCCUUCGGGUUGUAAACCGCUUUCGCCUGUGACGAAGCGUGAGUGACGGUAAUGGGUAAAGAAGCACCGGCUAACUACGUG